rnacentral:rRNA from 1 species
CCUACGGGAGGCAGCAGUGGGGAAUCUUGGACAAUGCGGGGAACCCUGAUCCAGCGACGCCGCGUGAGUGAAGAAGUAUUUCGGUAUGUAAAGCUCUAUCAGCAGGGAAGAAAGAAAUGACGGUACCUGACUAAGAAGCCCCGGCUAACUACAUGCCAGCAGCCGCGGGAAUACGUAGGGGGCAAGCGUUAUCCGGAUUUACUGGGUGUAAAGGGAGCGUAGACGGCGAUGCAAGUCUGAAGUGAAAGGCGGGGGCCCAACCCCUGGAAUGCUUGGGAUACUGUAUGGCUGGAGUGCAGGAGAGGUAAGUGGAAUUCCUAGUGUAGCGGUGAAAUGCGUAGAUAUUAGGAGGAACACCAGUGGCGAAGGCGGCUUACUGGACUGUAACUGACGUUGAGGCUCGAAAGCGUGGGGAGCAAACAGGAUUAGAUACCCUGGUAGUC